rnacentral:misc_RNA from 1 species
GAUGAAGAACGCAGCGAAAUGCGAUAAGUAAUGUGAAUUGCAGAAUUCAGUGAAUCAUCGAAUCUUUGAACGCACAUUGCGCCCGCUAGUAUUCUGGCGGGCAUGCCUGUCCGAGCGUCAUUCAACCCUCAAGCCCCCGGGCUUGGUGUUGGGGAUCGGCGAGCCUCCGCGCCCGCCGUCCCCUAAAUCUAGUGGCGGUCUCGCUGUAGCUUCCUCUGCGUAGUAGCACACCUCGCACUGGGAAACAGCGCGGCCACGCCGUUAAACCCCCAACUUCUGAACGUUUGACCUCGGAUCAGGUAGGAAUACCCGCUGAACUUAAGCAUAUCAAUAAGCGGAGGA